UACAGAGGGUGCGAGCGUUAAUCGGAAUUACUGGGCGUAAAGGGCGCGUAGGCGGGUUUAUAAGUUAUGUGUGAAAUCUCUGGGCUUAACCUGGGAACUGCACAUAAUACUGUAAGUCUAGAGUAGAGUAGAGGAAAGUGGAAUUUCCGGUGUAGCGGUGAAAUGCGUAGAUAUCGGAAGGAACACCAGUGGCGAAGGCGGCUUUCUGGACUCAUACUGACGCUGAGGCGCGAAAGCGUGGGGAGCAAACAGG
rnacentral:rRNA from 1 species